rnacentral:rRNA from 1 species
CUUGACGACCAUAGAACAUUGGAACCACCUGAUCCCAUCCCGAACUCAGUAGUGAAACGAUGUAUCGCCGAUGGUAGUGUGGGGUUUCNUUUGAGUCGAAGGACCAGAUUGCGGUGACUGUGAAGA